AACCUUUAUUUUAUGAGCCCAAAUUAGAUUAAUAAUUUUUCUGCCUACGUGAGUGAGAUGAAACAUCUAUUCUUUUCUCAAGAAUCCUCCAACAUCAAAUCUUUUAUUUUAUCUUCAAAUCUUGACAAGUGAUCCUGCAGGAAUUCUUUUCUUUUCCAAGAUAUUCUUCUACAACCAUUUGUGACAUUUGGCCUACAUGCAGCCAAGUUUUACCCACAUUAACCCAUUCACCUCUUUAAAUUACCCCACCCCACCGUUAAAUCAAUUUCUCCAUUUUCUCCACAUUCUUUUACUCAUUCAAUCAGCAGCAGAUGCAGUAGGAAGCAACCAACGCAUAAACAAAAAAGAAGGGAAGGAGAAACCAAGGUUCUAAAUUCGUGUAAAGAGAAAUACCCAAAUAGAGCAUGUACAAGGAGAGCUCCUGUACAAGGUUCAGCAUCUCCCAAAUCUUUACUACACCAUGUAUUUCCCUUUACUUACCUUGUAACAGAUUUGUAUCUCUCUCAAUCCUAGACUUUACGGAAGGACCUAAUGAAUAAAAGCAAGAACUGAGAACAAGAGCAUUAUUUUUUUAAGAAAUUUCAGAAACUCAAACUGCCCAAAAAUCAAAUCUUUCCAAAUCUGAGAUUUUUCUUUUCGUUGCCUUGUUGAGUGUGAGAGACGAGAGGGAGACGGGUGCGAGCUGUCAAGGCCGCGGCUGCCGGCGCUGCAUGCGUUGCAGCAGCCCGCCGGCCACCCACGGCCAAGACAGAUGGAGACGGAGCGAGGCGGCGUCGUGGGCGUGGCUGGGGCGGCACGGCCGAAGGCCAAGCGCCGCUAUCGCGGCGUGAACGGAGCAGCAGCGGCGGCCGCCCUUCUUGGCCGUCCGCUGCCGGAAAUGCGAGGGAAGGCGAUGAGUGAGGGAGGCCUCGGAUCUGGCGAUUCUCGCCGGGGUUGGAGCAGGCGGCGGCGGAUCUAUGGAGGGAGAAGAGAAGAGGUGGUGGUUUUAGAGAGAGAGAGAGAGACGGAUGGGAGGUGGUGAGAGAGGGAAGACCGGAGGUGGUGUGCGGCGAUGAUUCCGCCGGACUUGGAGCGGCGGCGGCAGAAGCCGAUGGCCGUCCGGCCAAGAGAGAGAGGGGCAGCGGUUUUGAGGGAGAAAGGAGGAAAAUGAGAGAGAAGGAGAGGGGGAGCCGAGAGUGGGUGUGAGGAGAGAGAAAAGAAGCUUUGUUUUCUUUUAGUUCAAAUUUUCUUUAAUUGUUAGCUAUUAUUUUGGGCUCACUUUUAUUUAGUUUAUUGGGCUGAUUUUUUUUUUUUUUUUUUAUCAUUUGAUUGGGCUGAUUUCUUCUAUCUGAUGGGCUCUAUUCAUUUAAUUUACUUGGGCUCAUUUAAAUUGAACAAGUCUUUUGUAUUGUAUUGUCUUGGGCUUUAAUUCUUUCUUUAAAUGAGUCUGAAGUGCCUUAACUAGUUUUAU